UACGAAGGGGGCUAGCGUUGCUCGGAAUUACUGGGCGUAAAGGGCGCGUAGGCGGAUAGUUUAGUCAGAGGGAAAAGCCCAGGGCUCAACCUUGGAACUGCCUUUGAUACUGGCUAUCUUGAGUACGGGAGAGGUGUGUGGAACUCCGAGUGUAGAGGUGAAAUUCGUAGAUAUUCGGAAGAACACCAGUGGCGAAGGCGACACACUGGCCCGUUACUGACGCUGAGGCGCGAAAGCGUGGGGAGCAAACAGG
rnacentral:rRNA from 1 species